UUCUCUUGCACGAUGUCCGUCUUCAGCAGGUUGUCAGCCAGGACGAAUGCCCCUUGCUCCACCGUGUCCAGCAGCAUGAUGGCAAGCAUGAGCACAGUUG